GCCGGAAGCCCCUCCCAUUGGCCACCGGGUUCGUGGCUGGCUGGCGGAGGCUGUCACUCUGGGGCCGUUUCCCUGAGGCCGGCUCUCUGCUGGGGGUGGAAGAGGGGCCGAACUGCGGCCUGACUAGCCGUUGCUGCCGCCGCGGUCUUCGCGGCUGCUAUGACCAGCGGGCGAGGCGUCCUCCGCAGCUGCGCGCAGCGCUAGUCGCGGUUGUGAGUUCGCCGUAGCCGUCUGGGUACCCAGCGCGGCCGCUCCCGCGGCUCCCUCGGCUCUUCCAGCACCGCCGGCGAGGCGAGGCAGAGGCAGGAUGAAGAUGACGGUGGAUUUCGAGGAGUGUCUGAAGGACUCGCCCCGCUUCAGAGCUGCUUUGGAAGAAGUAGAAGGCGAUGUGGCUGAAUUGGAACUAAAACUCGAUAAGCUUGUGAAGCUUUGUAUUGCCAUGAUUGAUACUGGAAAAGCCUUUUGUGUUGCAAAUAAACAGUUCAUGAAUGGGAUUCGAGACCUGGCACAGUAUUCUAGUAAUGAUGCUGUAGUUGAGACAAGUUUGACCAAGUUUUCUGACAGCCUUCAAGAAAUGAUAAAUUUUCAUACAAUUCUAUUUGACCAAACACAGAGAUCAAUUAAGGCACAACUUCAGAACUUCGUUAAAGAAGAUCUUAGAAAAUUCAAAGAUGCCAAGAAGCAAUUUGAAAAAGUCAGUGAAGAAAAAGAAAAUGCAUUAGUAAAAAAUGCUCAAGUACAAAGAAACAAACAACAUGAAGUUGAAGAAGCUACAAACAUCCUGACAGCAACAAGAAAAUGUUUUCGACACAUAGCCCUCGACUAUGUACUUCAGAUAAAUGUCCUUCAAUCAAAAAGGAGAUCAGAAAUCCUAAAAUCAAUGUUAUCCUUUAUGUAUGCACAUUUGGCCUUCUUUCACCAAGGAUAUGAUCUAUUUAGUGAACUUGGGCCCUACAUGAAGGAUCUUGGUGCACAGUUGGAUCGAUUGGUUGUGGAUGCAGCAAAAGAGAAAAGAGAGAUGGAGCAAAAACAUUCCACCAUUCAACAAAAGGCUGCAUUACAGGAUUUCUCCAGUGAUGAUUCUAAGUUAGAAUAUAAUGUAGAUGCUGCAAAUGGCAUUGUUAUGGAAGGAUAUCUGUUCAAACGAGCCAGCAAUGCUUUCAAAACUUGGAACAGGAAAAAGCCCGAUCAUAUCAGACGCUGGUUUUCGAUACAGAACAAUCAAUUGGUUUACCAGAAAAAGUUUAAGGAUAACCCUACUGUGGUAGUAGAAGAUCUAAGGCUCUGCACAGUGAAACAUUGUGAAGACAUAGAACGACGAUUCUGCUUUGAGGUGGUCUCUCCAACAAAAAGUUGUAUGCUUCAGGCAGAUUCUGAAAAGCUGCGCCAGGCAUGGAUUAAGGCUGUUCAGACAAGUAUUGCUACUGCUUAUAGAGAGAAGGGUGAUGAAUCAGAGAAGCUGGAUAAGAAAUCAUCUCCAUCCACAGGAAGCCUAGAUUCUGGAAAUGAGUCAAAAGAUAAAUUAUUGAAAGGAGAAAGUGCGCUGCAGCGAGUCCAGUGUAUUCCUGGCAAUGCCAGCUGUUGUGACUGUGGUCUGGCAGACCCACGGUGGGCCAGCAUCAACCUGGGCAUCACCCUGUGUAUCGAGUGUUCUGGGAUUCACCGGAGCCUGGGAGUUCAUUUUUCAAAAGUACGUUCUUUAACUUUAGAUACCUGGGAGCCUGAACUUUUAAAGCUUAUGUGUGAGUUGGGGAAUGAUGUUAUAAAUCGAGUUUAUGAAGCUAAAGUGGAAAAAAUGGGAAUAAAGAAACCACAACCAGGACAAAGACAGGAGAAAGAGGCAUAUAUCAGAGCAAAAUAUGUGGAGAGGAAAUUUGUGGACCAGGAUUCUAUAUCAUCAUCACCUCCUGAGCAGGAAAAAAAGAUUGUCUCCAAAAGUUGUGAAGAAAAGAGGCUGAGCAUUUCUAAACUUGGGCCAGGUGACCAACUCAGAGCAUCUUCCCAAAGUUCAGUGAUUGCUGUAAAUAGCGACGAGGCCAGGCGGGAGUCUCUGUUCUGUCCUGAUGAGCUAGAUUCACUCUUCUCCUACUUUGAUACUUCUUCAAAACUGCGUAGUAUCAAAAGUAAUGACAGUGGAAUCCAGCAGAGCUGCGAUGAUGGAAGAGAAUCUUUACCCUCCACAGUGUCAGCCAAUAGUUUAUAUGAGCCUGAGGGAGAAAAGCAAGAUUCUUCUGUGUUACUCGACUCUAAACAGCUUAAUCCAGGACUCCAGCUUUAUAGGGCUUCAUAUGAAAAAAAUCUUCCUAAAAUGGCUGAGGCUUUGGCUCAUGGUGCAGAUGUGAACUGGGCUAAUUCAGAGGAAAACAAAGCAACACCACUUAUUCAGUCUGUAUUAGGGGGCUCUUUGGUGACAUGCGAGUUUCUCCUACAGAAUGGUGCUAAUGUGAACCAAAGAGACAUACAAGGGAGGGGACCACUGCACCAUGCCACCGUCUUAGGGCACACGGGGCAGGUAUGUUUAUUCCUAAAACGAGGUGCCAAUCAACAUGCCACUGAUGAAGAAGGGAAAGACCCUUUGAGUAUAGCUGUGGAAGCAGCCAAUGCUGAUAUAGUGACCUUGUUACGUUUAGCAAGAAUGAAUGAAGAAAUGCGGGAAUCAGAAGGACUUUAUGGACAGCCAGGUCAAUAUUCUACUAAUAACCAUACUGAAAUGCAGUAUAAGAAAUGCAUUCAGGAAUUUAUCAGUUUACAAUUAGAAGACUCAUAGUUCUUUAGCACACUAACUUAAUACUAUAGAGUUUUUAUAAUUGUGAAUUGUGAGUUGUUAGGUAUAUACUAUACUACUGAAUUCUUGGGGGUGGCUAACUCCUGGGCCUUUAAAUAUCCAUAUUCCUAUUACAGUACACAUUUACGUGGUGUAUUUAACUGGCUGCUGACUGCUUUAUCUGCUGUACAGAUGUCUUCCACAUACAUUCCAGUGAAGUGAAUGGAAUGAUAACGUAUCUUUAUACACUUACAGCAGCACAAUAGUCAUUUGCAUUUUGAAAUUUUCUUUAGCUAUCAAGUGAAUAUAACAAAAUGAUUUUUCUGUUUGUUAUUCAGGGAAUUUCUAUAAAUUGUGUUCAGGGAAAAAACAAAUCACCAUGUGUUUGGCAUAUAAAACGUCAGUAUAGAAAAUAGCUAGAAAAUGAAUUAAGAGUUUUGUGCUCUGAUCUAAACAUGACUUGAAGGUUUAAAAAUAAAAUUUAUUAGUAGGGUAAGAAGUCCCUAAUGGAAGUGGAGUUGGUUUAAAAGUUAUAGGGGAAAGGUUUCAUUUUAUCUUACAGCUUUGCUCCAAGCAAUUGUACAAUAUCUGUUAAAUAAGUGGAAGUAUUUCUAACAGUAGUUCGUGAACCUGAUGGCAAAGUAGAUGUAUUCAUAUUAGAGAACCCUAACUUAGGAUCAGCUCAAGUGUCAGUUUGAAUAAUUUUCACCUUUAAGAAAAGGAAGAAGUCUUGAUCAGAUUCUUCCCUUUAAUGAACAUACCAAGUAAUUAGAUCUCCACUUUCAUGAAUUUGAGUAUAUGAAUUACUAAUUUUUCUGUUUUAAAUUCAUAUACAUAAGUAAAAAAUUUCCAGAAUUCAUGACUAAAAUAAUUGAGACUGUUCAGUAUAUUUUAUUUUUUUCAAUGAAUAUUAAUAUAUUAUUUUAAGUGGUUGAUAAUUUCUAUUCUUCCUGUUUCAUUAUGUUUUGAAAUUUCUAUACUUUGUGCUAGCUUCAGCCAUUUUUAUUUUAACCAGAUUAAUAUAUAAUUAAUAUAAAUAUGGGGUUAUUCUUUUCUGAAAGGACUGUAUUUACUACUUAUUUUUGUUCUAAUUUAAUAGGGGACAAGUAUGAACUUUGAGAAUAGAGGAACUUCAUCUAGAUACUUAUAAUCUAGGGUGUCCCACUUUAAUCCUAUGGAUCAAACGAUACUACUGAUUCCUGAUAUACCAAGAUGUAAGAAAGCUGAUUAAGGGUGAAAGUCUCAGCAUUAAUUCUGAAUUUCACCCAUUUAUUUUAAACUUGAGUGUUAGAUUUUAAAUAAGUUAUAAUUUUGUAACAUAUACUUAAGUGAUAAUAUUACUAGGCAAUUUUUGAGGCCUUUGAGUUUAAGCACUUUAAAAUAAAAAUUAUUCAAAGGCUAUGACCUGAUAUUUGUGAGAUCAGAGUGAACUUCAAGAGUUUAAGUUAAACAGUGUUUUUUUCCUGUAAAUUUAAACAUCAAUGUUUGGUCAGCUGCUCUUUCCUUAAGGUGUUUGCUGAUGAAGUUACACCCAACUGAUUAGUCUAGAAGGUCAGUGGUUGACUUUUCUCUGGAGUUGGGAAGCUUGAAAGGACAGGGCCUCUAAGCUCUUGCAACUUCUGGCUCCACCCAAAUGCUUGGGCUUCUGCCACCAUUUAGGAGCAUUCAAGUGUCUCUUUCACUGUCGUUUUAUGUAUAAGUUUUUUUAGUAUAUACUUUACAGUUACAGAUAGAAAAAUAAAUUUUUGCGAUUUGUUUGAAUGAAAAUUUGAAAAAAAGCCUCAUUUAAAAAAACAAGCUUCUCUAUCACUCAAAUUUCAUUUUAGAGUUUAAAAAAUAGAUCAGAAUUCUGGAAAUGACAUAUGAGCAGAAUAAAAUAAGAUUUUGAUCUCUUUGAGGAUCAUCUUGAUAAUAAUUAGAUUUCUAAUUCAUUUAGAGGGUCUCAUAUUUAAAACAGAAGACUUUUAUACUUAUACAGGUGACGUGGUGAAAUGGUACAGCAGUUGCUCUCGGGCUACUUUUCUUUUCCUUUAUGAGUCUUUGGAGAGCAGAUAUGUUUGCUGAGGCAGCAGGUCCUUUCUUUCCCUUCACCUGUCACUGACAUUUUUCUCAUAGAUUUUGAUUAUUUUAUCUACAUCCUUUUUUUGUUGCCUAGGCUAGGAAAGAAAACCUCAGAAUUCUGGGUAAUUUUAAAAUGCAGGUAUUUUCAAUCUUUUGAUAAUGAAGAACCAUACCUUUUAAAAAACUUGAGAUAUAAUCUUUGGGAAUCAUGCACCUAUUCCUAGGAAACCCCACUUGUGAAUUUUCUAUCUACAACUCUGACUUUGACUCCCUAUUUUUUGCAAGGCGAUGUUAAACGCACGCAUAAGAGCACGCAUUUCCUGAAGGGAAAAUGUAUCCCUCUUUAUCAGUUCCUACAACUCAUAGGAGGAGAGGAGAAUGAGGGGGGUGAGUGAGAUAUCAUGCCCUGCUCUCAAUUGUUGGGAACUAGUUUGGUGGUUCCCACAGUCUCUGACUCUAAGAUUCCUCUUGACUGUUGGCAGAGUUUCUCAGCCAGGUGAAAAUCACUGCUUUAAUGAACCCACUACUGGUUAUGUGAGUAUGUUGCUGGCUAAGUUUGAUCACUGUUCUAAACAGUUAUAAAAAGCAGGCUAUAAUCAACCCAGAAAGGCCAGGAUCACCUGAGGGUGGGGUCUCCCAUGCUGCCAUUUCAAGAGCAAAAUCAGCAAAAUCUUGGAUCAUUAUAACUGAGUUGCAGUGGCUAUUCUGAAUACCCAAAAUCAAAAACUAUUUUAAAAUAUUGGUGAAAAUACAACAGUCCACAUUUUAAAAACUCAGAACUGCUCAGGCAUGUAGAAAAGUUAACUUUCUGAAGAGAAAUAGAAUUUGAUUAAGUAAUUUAAAGGAUAUAACUUGCAUUACAAAUAUUGGGUGAUUAGUUGUUUACCACUUAUAAUAAACUGUUAAAUGUCUUUCUCUGAACUUCCCAGGGCAACAUAUCAUAGUUAUUGUUUAUGUAUUCUAGUGUAGACAAGUUACAUUUGCCUUGGGAAAAAUUUUAAAUGAUUAAAAUUAUAUUUAAAUUUUAAAGAAUCGCAUUGAAGUUCAAUUUGUGUUAACUGUAUUAAAUAUCUUAGUCACUAUUGUUAUUAUAAUGUUUGCUUUUUGACUACACAUUUUGAAGCCUAAGAAAGGGUAUUGAUAGUCCAUUAAUUAAUGUUUUGUUAGAAACUGAUUGUUAACAAAAAGUUGCGUGUGUGUGUGUGUGUGUGUGUGUGUGUGUGUGUGUGUGUGUGAAGGUGAGACUUCCUUCCUUACUGUAUUGACUCUUUAAAAAUGUAUUUAGUAAGUGAAACCAAUUAGUGUAGCACCAACACUUUCCUUCAUGGAAGCUUUUAAUUCAGUGAAUAAAAACUUAUAAUUUGUUUCGCAUGGUACAAUGGUUCUACUAAAAUAUACUUGUGUAAUGGGUACUAGAUAAUUUAGAAACAAAAACUGGAAAACCACACACACACAAAUUAAUCCCACAGCUUGUUAUACAAAAUAUGCAUUGCUAAUAGUAGAAGCCAUAUAUUGCCAUUGUACUGUUGUAAUACUUAAGAAUGCUCAUCUGGUGCUAUCUGUAAACUAUUUGACAUUAGUGUCUCCUAGAUCCUUCUUCCUGUUUCUUCUUGAAUGUAUAAAUGUGUGCCUUUUAAGUUACUUCUGGUGUUGAAUGGUAAAAUCAGUGUGGUAUUUUUGUAUUAUAAUCUGCACUUUACACUUUCUUGGAAAGUAAAAUUCCAGACUCUACAGUUUAAAUAGUAUUUUAAAAAUAUUUAUAAUGUUUACAAUAAAUAUUUUAAAUAUUUUAAUUCAACAUCUAAGAAUAAGAAAAAAUUUUUAAAUAUUUUGUAUGGUUUCUUAAUUGAUAUUUAAUGUUGGUCUCUUCUCAGUUUAUUUUAUAUCUUUUAGAAUGGCUAAAAAUGGGAAUAGAUUGUAGUUUGUCUUUUAAUGUGGGAGUAAACUUUUAAGAAAUCAUGGGUAUUAUUGGAUUGUCUUACCAGUUGUUUCAGCAUAUCAACCUUUAUUUUUAUUGUUUUAGUAACAAUAAUAUGAGUUAGAUGUUACUCUUAGACAGCCUAUUAAAAUUCUCUCCUUACUGUAUUUUUUUCUUUUUAAAGUAGAUUGAUUGAUUCAGGUCAUAAGAAAAUGUCCAGGGUUAAAUGAAAACUAUAUAGAGAUUUUAAUAACUUGCUUUUUACAUAGACUAAAUAUUAAAAAUGGCUAAAUAUUAAAAGUACUAAACAUUUUUUAUUGAAAAUCUUGAGUUAUGCUAUUAGACCUUUUUACUAGAUCUUUAUUCCCCUCCCCAAACUUUUUUCUAAUUCUCUAGUUUUUGGUAUGACAUCUAUUGCCUCAAAAAUCUUGCUUUUCAAAAGCUGACAAAACUUACUGCACUAUUAACUGUAGCAAAUGAGUUUGUAAUAAGAUGGAUGCAAGGUAUACUAUGGAAAAUAAUUAUAAAACCAUGUUGCACCAAUAGUCAUGUAAAAUAGUGUUUGACAGUCUAAAUCUUGAAAACAACUAUGCCAAGCUUCUGUAUAAAGCUAAUGUUUAAUAGGAAGCAUUCAUAAUGGAUGAUUCAUCUUGAAAAUAAGAUUUUUCUUUGUACAAAUUAUUUGAGGAAUAAUCUGUAUGUGUGUAUAAUUUAGUUUCUCAUGGCAAGAAAUAAUAGUGUUCAAUCCGAUAUAGUAUCAGUAUCUAUAAUCUACUUCUCUAAAAGCAUAUUUGUAUGUAUAUACAUAUGUCUGUUAUUCUAAUUUAACAGAUGUCUUUGGUAUAUUCCCCUUUUGUCAUAGCAUUUUUGCUCAUAUCAACAGUAAGCAAAAAAGUUCUGAUUAAAUGUGAAAUUAUGAUUUUAUGGUAAUUUUCUAGGCUUCAUCAUUUCAUAAGCUUAGUAAGCAGUGGAUUAGGUACAUUAGUUUUAGUUAAGCAUUAACGUUUGAGUAGAGAAUUUCUUUUUCACAUGCUGUUUAAAUUAAACUGCCUUUUAGUUAAAAGAUAAUAUUAAAAUAGACUUUUCCCCCACCUGAUUAUCAGUUUUGUCUUGUUAAUAACUUGCAUCCAUCAGAAAUACUUAGUGUUUGUUUUUGGUCUUUCCUUUUGGUCUUGAUCAAGGGAAAUACUUAUUUAAAGAAUGCCUUGUUUACUAUACCUCACUUAGAAUGACUUUUAUUUCUCAUGUGUUAAUAAAUGUAUUUCUUUACACUGCUUUAAAACACUUGCAUCUUUGCUUUUUUUCUAACUCUGAACUUUCCUCUGUGGCUGCAUCUGAGGUGCUUUUUUCAGGUGAUGAAACUUAUCAGGAUAUUUUUCGUGAUUUUUCCCAAAUGGCAUCCAAUAAUCCAGAGAAACUGAAUCGUUUCCAGCAAG